rnacentral:rRNA from 1 species
GACGAACGCUGGCGGCGUGCUUAACACAUGCAAGUCGAACGGAAAGGCCCUGCUUUUGUUGGGUGCUCGAUUGGCGAACGGGUGAGUAACACGUGAGUAACCUGCCCUUGACUUUGGGAUAACUUCAGGAAACUGGGGCUAAUACCGGAUAGGAGCUCCUGCUGCAUGGUGUGGGUUGGAAAGUUUCGGCGGUUGGGGAUGGACUCGCGGCUUAUCAGCUUGUUGGUGGGGUAGUGGCUUACCAAGGCUUUGACGGGUAGCCGGCCUGAGAGGGUGACCGGCCACAUUGGGACUGAGAUACGGCCCAGACUCCUACGGGAGGCAGCAGUGGGGAAUAUUGCACAAUGGGCGGAAGCCUGAUGCAGCAACGCCGCGUGCGGGAUAACGGCCUUCGGGUUGUAAACCGCUUUCGCAUGUGACGAAGCGUGAGUGACGGUAAUGGGUAAAGAAGCACCGGCUAACUACGUG